UACGUAGGGUGCGAGCGUUGUCCGGAAUUACUGGGCGUAAAGAGCUCGUAGGUGGUUUGUCGCGUUGUUCGUGAAAACUCACAGCUUAACUGUGGGCGUGCGGGCGAUACGGGCAGACUGGAGUACUGCAGGGGAGACUGGAAUUCCUGGUGUAGCGGUGGAAUGCGCAGAUAUCAGGAGGAACACCGGUGGCGAAGGCGGGUCUCUGGGCAUUAACUGACGCUGAGGAGCGAAAGCAUGGGGAGCGAACAGG
rnacentral:rRNA from 1 species